ACUGCUGGUGCGGGGAGGGGAAAGGUCAGUUGGCCAGGGGAGUCCAUCCAGAGCCCCCCAACAUGCCUUCUGGGAAAGGAUGAGGAGUACCCGCGAUCCCCUUAGCCCGUGGCUUUACAUAUCCCCAUCCUAGGACAGGAGGGAAAGAUGGAGUACACACAAAUAUUAAUUGUGGGCUUUGGAGUAUCCUAGGAACCGAAGCAAAGUGUAUGGACAUCUUGGGUGUUGUAACUAUGGGGUUCUUCCUAAGGAUGGUUAGUCCAACGAAGCUGUGGUAUAUGCACUGAAAGAAUGCAAUGCUCAUCCCACUGGCACAGCCAAAAGCUAUGGGUGUUAGGUUUCAUGGGAGAAACCAUCAAGGACAGUGCCAUGAAACAUAAGGAUCCCUGGGUCACCACAAUAUUAUAACUCAGUGACAAUGGCUUUGCAAGCACUCUAAAGUUCUGUCUGAGGUCU